rnacentral:lncRNA from 1 species
GAAAAUGACCGAUGAAUGAAACCCUAACAGUUUUAUUGUUUCCACCAUUAUUGAUAGGUUCAGGCUGGAGUCUAAUGAAGAGAUCUUUGGGCAGUUUAGGGGCAACUUGUUGCCAACGAUAAGCCAGCUCCGUUGCGCCUUGUUCCAAGGUCCUUUGCACGGUGAAAACAGUGACCCUAGGUGGGACACGAACCAACUUGAUCCGCCAUGAAAGGAUGAUACCAAAGCUAGUUGUUCCACCGCCUCUUAUUGCCCAAAACACAUCUUCCCCCAUCGAUUUACGGUUAAGGAUUCGACCAUUAGCGUCGAUCAACUGUGCAUCAAUGACAUUAUCAAUGGAAAGCCCGUAUUUUCUAAUUAAAAACCCAUACCCACCUCCACUGAAGUGUCCACCAAUGCCUAGAGUGGUACAAACACCAGAUGGGAACCCAUGGACAUUGCUCUUCUCGGCUAUCCUAUAAUAAAGUUCGCCGGUAGUAGCUCCUGCUUGAACCCACGCCGUCUCAGUCGACAUGUCGAUGUCUAUAGAGUUUAGGUUGAACAUAUCGAGAAUAACAAACGGGACAUCAGAAGUGUACGAAAGUCCCUCGUAAUCAUGACCACCACUUCGAAUCCUUAGUUGAAAAUCAUGUCGCUUGGCGCAAAUGACAGCGGCUUGUGCAUGAGAUGGAUGUAGAGCAGUUAUAAUGGCCACCGGUCUCGAAGUUGCUGAUAAAAAAGUUCGAAGAUUAUUAGCACGUAAUUGGUAUAUAUAUUGAAAAGAUGAAUUGUUGGGGGUUAAAAUUGCAUCGGUAAUCGGAAUAGAAGAGUCAGAUUGUUUAGGCAAACAUUGAAAAAAAUCAUCGAAAUCAUCUGAAUCGGAAGGUGUUACAGAUGAAAUCGAUAACAAAAUGAAAAUUGAAAUGAUGGGAAAGAUGGAGCUUGAAAUUUUCAUUUUUGUUUUCCAGAUGGUAUUGGUGCAUUGCUAUAAUGAUUUAAUGGGGGCAUAUAUAUAUAUAUAUAGAGGGGAGGGACCUAUUUGGAUUAACUCAAAGCCAAUCUCUAAUUCUUAAAGUCUUUCUAAGACUUUUGAGAAAGAGAAGUUCAUUUUUGUUUUUAAUUUUGUUUCUAAAAUAUUUAGUAAAAUCUUUAUUCGACUUUCUUUUUGCCAGAGUGUACACACACACAUAUUUAUUAUUUCUUUGUUUGACGAACCAACUUUGUGUUCGAACCUUCCAAUAUUUAGUUUUUAUAUAUUAAUUUGAUUGAUUUGUAUUUUUUGUAUUGAUUAAUUUUAAUUUUUAUAAUUUUUAAAAUUUAAAAUUUUACUCUUAACUCAGCUAGUAGCAAUUAAACUCCUUUGGUUAAAUUCAAUUAUUAGUCUUAUACUAUGCAUAUAGUUGUAGAUUUAGUUCAUAUUCUUCAAUUGGAUCAUUUUAAGCUGCCGUGCUUUUCUUAAAAUUUCAAUUUUAACACAAUGACUGUUAUUAAUCCAUUAACUAGAUUUUUAGUGAAUAAUAUGUGUAAAUAACAAGCUGGUAUUACAUUAUACAUAUAAUAAUAUGUUUGUUGUAUCAAGUUUUAGAAAUAACAAUAUUUAAUGAAUUUAGCAAUUAUCUUUUAGUGAGGACUGGAAUUUUAAAAUUUAAAAGUAAAAAGAUAAAAAUGACCAAAUUAAAUUACAUGAAUUAAAUCUAUAACUUUCUUAAAGUAUAUGAACUAAUAGCAGAAUUUAACCUUUAUAAUUAUACUUUCGGAUUUAUACGAUGAGUUAAUUUCACUAAACAUCUUUAAACUAUGAUUCUUAUUUUAAAUUGGCCCUUAAAUUUUAAAUCACUCUAAUUACAUCAUUAAACUAUCGAGGUUAUAUCAAUUAAGUCCUUUCGAUACUAAAAUUUUACAUUUGGGUCAAAUAAAAAAUUAAUAUAUAAGGAAAAAAAGUGGAAUAGAGAUUUUAUUCAAUUUAAAAACAAUAUAAAAAACAAAAAUGAAAUUUCUUUAUUGAAAAGUCUUAGAAACAUGUUCAAGACUUUGACAAUUUGAGAUAAACUUUGAGCUGAUCCAAACAGGUCCCUCCCCUCUAUAUAUAACCCAUUAAAUCAUAAUAACAAUGCAACAAAAAUGAAAAUUUCAAGCUCCAUCUUUUCCCUUAUUUCAAUCUUCAUUUUAUUAUUGAUUUCAUCAGCCACAUCUUCCGAUUUUGAUGAUUUUAUUCGAUGCCUUCCUCAACAGUCUAAUUCUUCUCUUCCGAUCACCGAUGCAAUAUUAACUCCCAACAAUUCGACUUUCCAAUCUAUAUACCAAUUACGUGCUAAUAAUCUUCGAACUUUUUUAUCAGCAACUUCGAGACCGGUGGCCAUUAUAACCGCUCUACAUCCAUCCCAUGCACAAGCCGCUGUCAUUUGCGCCAAGAGACAUGAUUUUCAACUAAGGAUUCGAAGUGGUGGUCAUGAUUUUGAGGGACUUUCGUACACUUCUGAUGUCCCGUUUGUUAUCCUCGAUAUGUUCAAUCUAAACUCUAUAGAUAUCGACAUGUCGACUGAGACGGCGUGGGUUCAAGCAGGAGCUACUACCGGCGAACUUUAUUAUAGGAUAGCCGAGAAGAGCAAUGUCCAUGGGUUCCCAUCUGGUGUUUGUACCACUCUAGGCAUCGGUGGACACUUCAGUGGAGGUGGGUAUGGAUUUUUAAUGAGAAAAUACGGGGUUUCCAUUGAUAAUGUCAUUGAUGCACAGUUGAUUGACGCUAAUGGUCGAAUCCUUAACCGUAAAUCAAUGGGGGAAGAUGUGUUUUGGGCUAUAAGAGGCGGUGGAACUACAAGCUUUGGUAUCAUCCUUUCAUGGCGGAUCAAGCUGGUUCGUGUUCCACCUAGGGUCACUGUUUUCACCGUGCAAAGGACCUUGGAACAAGGCGCAACGGAGCUGGCUUAUCGUUGGCAACAAGUUGCCCCUAAGCUACCCAAAGAUCUCUUCAUUAGACUCCAGCCUGAACCUAUCAACAAUGGUGGAAACAAUAAAACCGUUAGGGUUUCAUUCAUCGGCCAUUUUCUGGGACAAGCUGAUGGACUUUUACGAUUAAUGAACGUAAGCUUCCCCGAAUUGGGAUUGACCCGAAAUGACUGUUUAGAGAUGAGUUGGGUGGAAUCGACCUUAUACUGGGCGAAUUUCCCCAAUGGAACCUCCAUUGAUGUGUUGCUCGAUAGAGUUCAAGAAAACAGAGUGUUCUCCAAGAGCAAGUCCGAUUACUACAAAGCAUUGAUCCCCAAACAAGGGUUAGAGACCUUAUGGCAAGGAUUAAUGGACAUUGAAGACAUCUUCGUCCAGAUGAACCCUUACGGUGGGCGAAUGGAAGAGAUUUCGGACUCGGAGACCGCGUUUGCACACCGAGCCGGAAACCUCUUCAUGGUGCUGUACGGGAUCCAAUGGUCCGAGUCUGACGGAGGGAUCAACGCCACGGAACGUUACGUUGAGAUGUCGAGGAGGUUGUACGACGCAAUGGCCCCGUACGCAUCGAGCAACCCAAGAGAGGCGUUUCUCAACUACCGAGACCUCGACAUUGGCAGCAACGAAAGCGACGAGACGGAUUUCGAGGAUGCUCAAGAAUACGGCGCUAAAUAUUUCCGAAACAAUUUCAUAAGACUAGCAAAUGCAAAAGCCACGAUCGAUCCCGAGAAUUUCUUCAAGAACGAGCAAAGCAUACCACCAUUGCCUCAUUGAAAUCCUGGCCUUCUACAAUCAUCUAUAAAUGAAAACCAAAUAUCUUAUGAAUUUGCUUGUAAUUUUAAGCAUAUCAUGUUCUUGCAUUUAUAAUAAAUAAGAAUAUCUUUAUGUGAUUUUGUUUGUGUAAUUCACAAUAAAAUAACUUGUAUUGUAUAAGAAUUAAUUGUAUCUAUGAUCCUCAUUUUUAACUAGUAUUCAAAUUUUAAAAUAUUUUAAUUAUAUCCUCAAAUUAUUGAAUAGGAGCGGCACCAAGGGGUUGGUACUUGGUAGGGGCCCGUUAUAUUUUAUUAAAUUAUAAAUUAAUAAAUAAUCAAAUUGUACUUUGACCCCAAAAUGAUAAAAUUUUAAUUUAUUUCUUUAAAAAAUAUAAAUAUAUAAGUUAAUACAAUGGUUAAAAUGCAUUUUAGCUCUCAUAAAAAUACAUAACUAGUCCCCCCCCCCAAAAAAAAGACAUAAUAUCUGGCUUCACCCCUUCUAUUAAGGUUAUAUCAAUCAAGUUCUUUUGUUAUUAAAAUUGUUAAUUUAACCACUAAAUGAUACAUUAAAUCUUAUGUAGCUAACUUUAAAAUGAAAAUUUUUAAUAAAUAAUUAAUUCAAUAAUUAAUUUAAUUCAUGUGACAACUAAAUAUAUACAAUACCAACUGUGUUCGUAUUCUGUUUGCUUCAACCAUUAGGUGUGGCCCUGUAGGCUCUUGUAACGUUAGUAGUAAUACAAUAACAUUUCUAAUGUUACAAGCAAUGAGUGACAUUUAGCAAUGCACCAUUGCUGCUCAAGUUACAAGAAGUCGUGAAUCGAUAUAACCUUUCUGUGAUAAAAUUUUCAUGUAUUAUAUCAUUUUGUCCUUUAUAUCUAAAUUGGACACAAGUCAUGAAAUAGUCACACUUGUAUAGUCUAAUAUCAUAUUUCUUGAUAUUUUGAAUAGACUACAAUAAACAAAUAAGUGUGAUAUUUUAUAUAAGCUUAUUUGAGUAUGACCAUCCAUUUCUAGUCUCACUCCAUCAAGUGACCAUUAUGUAGGAGGGACAAAUCCUAUCUUGAUCAAUCAUAUCCCAUUACAUAGACUUUGGUAUAUCCAACACCAGUCUUUAUAGUACAACCUGUUAUGGUAGACGUUUGAGUUUAUUGUUAGAUUUGUGUGGCCCAAAUUCCUGUUAAAAAUAAAAGUACAAGUGGCAAGAUAGGGGGAUCUACGAGAGUGAAGGCCGAGUUGUUACGAUACAAGCUGCACAAAUGAAUAAGGUGUUUUAACCUUACUGCAUUACUUCUAUUUGACUUUGAUUAGAAUAAGGUUUUAAACCUAUCAAUAGAUGUAAUUUUCUCUCAUUUUGUAUCAUUUGAAUUCGACAUAGUGAAUUUUCUUCUCCUCCGCCCGUGAUUUUUAUUCCGAAAGGGUUUCCACGUAAAAUUCUGUGUGUUCUAUUUUUUCUUUCUUUUCUUUGCGAUACAUUGCCAUUAUCGACGUUCAAUUUAUCACAUGUAUCAAAAUAUACGACUCACGAUGUUGGGACAAUGAUGAUCUCAAGUUUGAGGAUCGUAUACAUAAUUAUCACUAUGAAUAUUGUUGUGAUUAUUACAUAAUAAUCCAAGAAAUAUACUCAUAGCAGGUCAGUCUAGUAUAUUGUUCUCUAACACAUACUCAUAUAUUGAUUUUGACAACCUUAUGUCAGAUGACACUUUAUCAUCAAUCAACUAUUAACUUGAAAGAAAUAAAUUUGAAACUUUUAUUUAUAAAAGUUGAAAUCUAAAGUUGAUAAAAAGAAAUAGAAUGUUGAAUAAAAGUCAUAGAUGUAUAUAAACAUGAUAAGAUAUUUAAUUUAAAAGUUAGGCAGAGUUCUUGAUAAGGGGUAGCUAGGGGCUGAAAUGGAAAUUUUUUCAUUUAGGUUAUUUAAAAUUUUUAAAAUUUAAAAUUAGUAAAGGUAGAAUUGUACUUUGACCCCUAAAAAUGCUAAAAAUUUGAUUUAAUAUUUUAAAACUUAUAAAGAUAUAAGCUAUUAAAAUAGUGAAGUUAUAUUUUUACUAUCGUUAAAAUUUUUCAUUUAAUUUUGACCCCCUUAAGAAAAUUUUCUAGCUUUGCCCUUGAUUCUUGACCUCUCAAAGUAAAAAUUGUUUGUUUAAUCUCCUCUAAAAUAGUUGAAUUAUAAAUUAAUAUAUGAUAAAAUUAUACUUUGAUCCUAAAAAAUGAAAAAAAAAUUCUUUCUAGUCUCUUAAAAAUAAUGAAAUUAUAAAUUAAUAAAUGAUAAAAUUAUAUUUUAGCUUCUAAAAAAUUUAUAAUUAAAUUUCGACCUCCUCUAAAAAAAUUUCUAGAUUCCUUUGAUAAGAUAGAGCAUGUCUUGCACACACCAUAAGGGCAAUCCCUACAAUUUGAACAAAUCAUUGCCAUGCACAAGUAGGAAUCCCUGCAACUUGCGGCUUGAGCAAAAAAUCUGAGCUGUAGGGUGAAGACUCAUAACCAAUAAACCAAAUGUUGGAGUUCAAUGAGAUAUUUAUAUAAUAUAAUUAUUAUGAUUUUUCAAUUUUUAUAUUAUAAAAUUUUUAUUAUUUAUUAAUAGUAUUAAACUCGAAUUCAACUCGAUUAAUAGCUCAAGCUCAAGCUCGACUCGAUAAUUAUUGAAUCAAGUUUGAAUUUUCUUCGAGUCGAACUCAAGUAGCUUGCAAAUCUUAGUGUCUUAUUUAUACUCCUAUUUCAAAUUCUCCAAUUCUCCCAAAAACACUUUUUUUUUGUGUGUGUGAAAAUGGCAGAACCAAGCUUUUAGGAAAAGUACAUUGCCGGCUACGGUAUCAAUAUGGUAAAAUAUUUCAAAAUUUAAUAUUAUUCUUGUCAUUUUUCUUAAUAGCAAGAUGAUCGAGUUGUUCAUGUUAGGCACAAUUUAAAAUUUUUGAAGACCUAUGAAAGUACAGUAAAAUGUUUGAAGAAUAUUGAUUUAUAUGUGACAUCUACAAUGACAAAAUUCAAUGGCAUUUCGAAAUUGCUUGCUACAUUCUUAGAGAGAUGGAAGCUAGAAAUGUAGGCAUUUAAUUUUUCAUGCGGGAAGCCACUAUUACACUCAAAUAAAUCGCUUUAAUAAUUAACCUUUCAAUCAAUGGGCACAAGGUAAUUAAACUUAGUACCAUCAAAUGCAAUAAGAGUGUUAUUGGUUGUUGGAUGCCGUGUCGUUUAAGAUGAGAUUGGAGAAAAUUAAACAAGGUUCACGUGAAGUACUUAUAAUUAGAGAAACUUAUUACACCAAUUCAAUUUGGAUUUAGUCUGACUUAAUUUAUCGACACUUAAAAUCAAAUUUGUGACCCAAAAUUUUCUUCAAUUUUCCUCCCUAAAAAUCUUAAAACAAAUAAAAAAUUUAAGUGUCAAAUUGGUAAAAUAAACCUUAAGUAUGGAAUUGAAAAAAAAAUUAUGACACAAAUAAAAGAGGGUCAAAUUGAAUUACACAAAUAAAAAAAGCUAUUACUGUAAAGAAAGAUUGAUAAAGUAUUUAUUUACUAAAAUAUGUUCAAAAGAAAGGUUGAUAUUAUCUACAUUCGGAUCAUGUAAAAAACAAAACAUAUAAAUAAAAAUCAAUACAUAAAAAGAUAUUGAUUUGAAUUUCAUAAAUUAUUAAUAUCAUUAUUAUUACAUAAAAACUUCAAUAUAUUUAAUUUUUUAAACAAGUAUAAUUAAAUAAAAAUUAAAAUACUCAAAUACAGAAAAGAGAAAUUAAUAUAUUGUUUUAAUGAGAUGGCGGCGUUGGUAAAGGCGGUAUGCUUUGUUCGUUCUUGAAGAAAUUCUCAGGGUCUAUCUUGGCUUUCACACUCGCCAGCCUCAUCAAAUUGUUCAUGAAAUACUUUGCUCCGUAUUCCUUCGCAACCUCAAAAUCCGUCUCGCCGCUUUCGUUGCUACCGAUGUCGAGGUCUCGGUAAUUGAAAAACGCUUCCCUCGGGUUGCUCGACGCAUACGGGGCCAUCGCAUUGUACAACCUCCUUGACAUCUCCACAUAACGCCCUGUGGCGUUGAUCCCUCCUUCGGACUCGGACCAUUGGAUCCUGUACAGUGCCUUGAAGAGGUUCCCACCGCGGUGCGCAAAGGCUGUCUCCGACUCCGAUAUCUCCUCCAUUCGCCCACCGUAAGGGUUAAAUUGCACGAAUAUGUCUUCAGUGUCCAUCAAAACUUGCCAUAAGGUUUCUAACCCUUGUUUGGGAAUCACUGCUUUGUAGUAAUCGGACUUGGUCUUGUAAAACACUCUGUCUACUUGAACUCUAUUGAGCAACACAUCAAUGGAGGUUCCAUUGGGGAAACCCGCCCAAUUUAAGGCCGAUUCGACCCAACUCAUCUCUAAACAAUCAUUUCUGGUCAAACCCAAUUCAGGGAAUCUUACGUUCAUUAAUCGUAAAAGUCCAUCAGCUUGUCCCAGAAAAUGGCUGAUGAAUGAAACCCUAACAGUUUUAUUGUUGCCGCCAUUGUUGAUAGGCACAAGCUGGAGUCUAAUGAAGAGAUCUUGGGGCAGUUUAGGGGCAACUUGCUGCCAACGAUAAGCCAGCUCCGUUGCGCCUUGUUCCAAGGUCCUUUGUACGUUGAAAACAGUGACCCUAGGUGGGACACGAACAAGCUUGAUCCGCCAUGAAAGGAUGAUACCGAAGCUAGUAGUUCCACCGCCUCUUAUAGCCCAAAACACGUCUUCCCCCAUUGAUUUACGGUCAAGGAUUCGACCAUUAGCGUCGAUCAAUUGUGCAUCAAUGACAUUAUCAAUGGAAAGCCCGUAUUUUCUCAUUAAAAAUCCAUACCCACCUCCACUGAAGUGUCCACCAAUGCCUACAGUGGUACAUACACCAGAUGGGAACCCAUGGACUUUGCUUUUCUUGGCUAUACUAUAAUAAAGUUCGCCGAUAGUAGCUCCGGCUUGAACCCAUGCCGUCUCGGUUUUCAUGUCGAUAUCUAUAGACUUAAGGUUGAACAUAUCGAGGAUAACAAACGGGACGUCGGAAAUAUACGAAAGUCCCUCGUAAUCAUGUCCGCCACUUCGAAUCCUUAGCUGAAAACCAUGACGCUUAGCGCAAAUGACCGCAGCUUGUGCAUGGGAUGGAUGUAGAGCGGUGAUAAUAGCCACCGGCCUUGAAGUCGCAGAUAAUAAGAUUCGAAGAUUGUUAGCACGUAAUUGAUAAGUAGAUUGGAAAGAUGCAUUGUUGGGAGUCAAUAUAGCGCCAGCAAUCGAGACAGAAUGGCCGGAAUGUUUAGGAAGGCAUUGAAGAAAAGCAUCGAAAUCGACCGGAUUGUAAGAUGCUGCCGAUGAAAUCGACAACAAAACGAAAAUCGAAACAAUUAAACAGGUGUAGCUUGAAGCUUUCAUUUUGGAAAUAAUGCGAAGAGAUAUGGUAAUGGUGCAUUGUUGUUAUGGUAUAUAUAAUGGUGAAGGUGUGGCAUUUGGAUCAAAUUGGAAAGCUUAUCUAAAUGUGUGAAAGGUUUAGAAAGCAUACGACUUAUAAGUUAAAAGACUUUUCAACAACGAAAUUCAUUGUUUUAUUCGAGGGUAAAUUAUUAAAAUAGUCACUUUUGUUUACCUUAAGUUACAUUUUAGUCACUUACGUUAUCGUGUUGUAACAUUUUAGUUACCGAACUGUUAAUUGUUGUUAACGGUGUAAUGGUAAGCUGAUGUACGUUAAAUUAUCAUUUUAAACGAAAAUUUUAGGUUAAAUUAUACUAUUGGUUUCUAUACUUUUUCGUUUUAAGUAAUUUAAUUUUUUUCUUUUAUGUUUUUUUAACUUUUCUUUUUUUUUUUUUAUUUUCCAUUCUCUCCUGCUUCUCCCCCUGUUUUCCUCCCCUCUUCAUUCCUUUUAAUGUAGUUUUUCUAUAUUUUCCAUUUAUUAAAACUAAUCCUUAUACUUUUAUUUUUUUUGAACAAUUUAAUUUUUUUUCUUUUUACUUAUUUAUUUUCCUUUUAGUUUUUCUUUAAAACCAGUCUCAUAUUUUUCACUGCAUAAACAUAAUCUUUGCCCACCAAAUAACCCAAGUUCUUUUUUCUUUCACAUGUUUCCUAAAUAAAUUUCAUACAAAACCGAAUAUUAAUCAUUCUUAAUCAAAUCUCGAUUUGAAUAUAACCUAAUUUUGAAACUAAAAUUGGAUCUGACUAAUCAAUAUAAAAAGUUAUAUCAUUAAUAAUAUCUAAACAUAAAUUUAAUUCUUUAUAUUCAAAACAAAAUUUUCUAUUUUCAAAUUUUUACAGAAUCGUGUAGAUUAUUCAUUUCCUUUUCUUUUAUUUUCUGACGAAUAAAAUUAAACAAACGAUAAAAUUGAUAUAAACCUUCUUGGAUAUUCCCAAACAAGCUUGAUUAGUGGCCGAGCAUGGAUGAAUCGAAGAGAGAAAGGAAGCAUGGACUCAAAUUGACUUGGGUUAAGUUGAGGGUAGUUUCGUAUGGUAUUUGUUUUAGUCAUUGAGAGUGUAGAGCUCUUUUGAAAAAUCCGUGAAACAACGUUGUUAUAGAGGAUGAGAAUGUUGUAGGUAAGAUAUAUAAGGUGAUUGUGGGGGUUGGUUAGGAGGUUGAGAGAACAAGCUUAGGAAACUUUUUUUAGGGUGGAUUGCCAUGACUGGCGAGGUCUUCAAGUGAGGUGAGCUUGUAGGCUAAGUUAUUGAGAGAUCUAAAUUGAUUCGUUAAAGCGGUGAUGGACGAUGACGGUUUGUAAUUGUGUGGUGAGAAUAUGCAAAACAAGUUUUAUUUUGAUUUCAGCUUUCACAUUUUCUUUUUUCAUAAAUAUAAAAAAGUUUUAAUAAAUAGAAAAUAUAGAAAAACUACGUUAAAAGAAAUGGAUAAGGUAGGAAAAUAGGGGGAGAAGCGGAAGAGAAUGGACAAUAAAAAAAAGUUAAAAGAACAUAAUCGAAAAACAAAUUUGCUCAAAAUGAAAAAAUAUAGGGACCAAUUGUUCAAUUUAACCUAAAAGUUUUGUUUGAAAUGAUGAUUUAACAUGCCAUGUGGGCUUACUGUUACACCGUUAACUGCAAUUAACAGCUCAGUGGCUAAAAUGUUAUAAUACAAAAAAGUAAGUGACUGAAACGUGACAUUUCAAAUAUCAAUAACUAAAAUGUAACCCGGACAAACAAAAAUAACUAUUUUAAUGGUUUAUCCUUAUUAAUAUUUAAUACAAUAUUUGUUUUCACCAAAAUAUGAAAUAUUCAAUCAUUCUUGAAAUAGGGGAAGCUAGAAAUAUUUAAAAGAUUUUUGUAGGCGCCGCCACGCUAUGCCCCUGUCUUGGAAUCAAUUAAAAAUUGCUAUUACCCAACCUAUGUUUGGUUCAACUUUUAAUUAGAUGGUUUAAUUGAAUUUUAAAAGGAAAUUAAGAUUAUAAACUAAAUUUUAUAAAAAUAGAAUAGAUGUAUAUACAAACAUGAUAAGAUAUUUAACUUUUUUUUUUUUGGGUACAUACCCCUUUUAUCAGGAGAGUACAAUUUAAAAGUUAGGGUGUAGUACCUGAGGACUGGUAGAGGCCUCAGCUUUUUUUAAAUGAUUUUUUUUAUUUAGGUCUUUUAUAAUUUUUAAAAUUUGAAUUUAAUAAAGAUAAAAUGAUAAAAAUUUGAUUUAGCCUUUUAAAAAUUAUAAAUAUAUAAGCAAUUAACAAUGUGAAGUUGCAUUUUUACUAUCGUAAAGUUUGCAAUUUAAUUUCGGUCCGUCCUAAAAAUAAUUUCUAGCUUUGCCCCUGAUUCUUGACCUCUCAAAAUAAAAAAAUUUGUCUGUUUAGUCUCCUCUAAAAUAGUUGAAUUAUAAAUUAAUAUAUGAUAAAAUUAUACUUUGAUCCCAAAAAAUAAAAUAAAAAAUUCUUUCUAGUCUCUUAAAAAUAAUGAAAUUGUAAAUUAAUAAGUGAUAAAAUUAUUUUUUGGCCUCUCAAAAAUUUAUAAUUAAAUUUUAGCCUCUAAAAGAAUUUCUAGACCCUUGCCUUUGAGAAGAAAGAGCAAAUCAUUAUCUCCCACACACGUAAGAAGGCGAUCCCUAUGACUUGAACCCACAAUGUGAACAAAUCAUUGCCAUGCACAAAUAGGAAUCUUGCGACUUGAACGGACAAUAUGAGAUGUAAGGUGAAGACUCAUAACCAAUAAACCAAAUGUUGGAGUUCAAUGAGAUAUUUAUAUAAUAUAAUUAUUAGGGUUUUUUAAAUUUUAUAUUAUAAAUUUUUUAUUAUUUAUUAAUAUUAUUAAGCUCGAAUUUAACUAAAUUAAUAGCUCGAGCUCGACUCAAUAAUUAUUGAAUCAAGUUUAAAUUUUCUUAAGUCGAACUCAAGUAGUUUGCGAAUCCUAAUGUCUCAUUUAUACUCUUAUUUCAAGUUCUCCAACUCUCCCAAAAACACUUUUUGUGUGUGUAUGAAAAUGACGGAACCCUUUCAGGAAGAGUACAUUGCCAUCUAUCCUAUGAUAAAGUUUGCCGGUAGUAGCUCCUGCUUGAAUUCACGCUGUCUCAGUCGACAUAUCGAUGUCUAUAGAGUUUUGGUUGAACAUAUCGAGCAUAAUAAACAAGACGCCAGAAGUUUACGAAAGUCCCUCGAAAUCAUGACCACCACUUCGAAUCCUUAGUUGAAAAUCAUGUUGCUUGGCGCAAAUGAUAGCGGCUUGUGCAUGAGAUGAAUGUAGAGCAGUUAUAAUGGCAACCGAUCUAGAAGUUGCUGAUAAUAAGGGUCGAAGAUUGCUAGCACAUAAUUGGUAUAUAUAUUGAAAAGAUGAAUUGUUAGGGAGUUAAUAUUGCAUCGCAUUUAUUGGACACGUUGCAGACACUUAGACGAGAAUCAAUGAGCAAUCGAAGAAGAGCCAAAACAUGCUCGACGUUGGGACAAGGAGCGUCAGCUUGUUAGGACAACGCGACGGACAACGUCAUGACGAGGCAAAUGAGACAUUGUGACAUCACGAUGUAUUCUCCUAUUUGGCAACCGCAUUUUAUAUUUCAAACAGAACUUCUUCUCUUAGUUAGAUUCUGAUUAUUUCAGGAAUAUUUUAGUAUGAUUAGAACUUUAAUCUUAGCCUAUUUAAAGGGGCUAUCGUAUCCUUAUUUUGACAAGCCAAUGAGCAAUGACUUUUCUUUGAGGGUUGCAUAUGAGUUUUGGUGAAGUUUCGUGGAUGGAGAUAAUUUUGUUCCCAAGUUAAGACUUUGUUUUCGGGGUUUAGGUUUUUAUGUUUAGUACAUUUAAGUUUAUUUUCUUCAUAUUGUACUCUCGUUUGUUUACUCAUUUAAUGAAAAAUCAAAGCAUCCUUUACUCGUGGUUUUUAUUUCUUUGAGGGCUUUCCACGUAAAAUAUUUGUGUUCAUUCUUCUUUGUGUUUUCUGUUUUGUUGUCUAUACGGGUCAAGUCCCAACAUUUUGCUUUUAAACAUUAUGCGACAAUGUUCUAUUUAUUUAAAAUUUUCAUUUUAAAUUUAGCUACAUAAGAUUUGAUGUGUCGAUAGUUAAAUUAAUGGUUUUAAUAACAAAAUGACCUGAUUUAUACAAUCUCGAUCUUUUAAGAUGCAAUUAGAAUGUUUUGAAGUUUGGGACCAAUUUAGAAUGAAAGUUUGGGGAUGUUUAGUACAAUUAACCCUACAUAAAAUUAAUUGAUUUCAAGAAAAUUCAAGAAUUAAUGUUAAAAAAAAAAGAAAAUUUAAAAUUUUAUAUAUUUUUUAUUCUUUAAAAAAAUAGAUUUUUAUAAAAUUAAAAUUUUAUAUUUGGGUCAAAUAAAAAAUUAAUAUAUAUGGAAGAAAGUCGAAUGAAGAUUUUAUUCAAUUUAAGAACAAUUUAAAAAAACAAAAAUGAAAUUUCUUUAUUGAAAAGUCUUAGAAACAAGUUAUAGAAAGGUGGCCCAAUCAUAAUCUUAUGAGUAACAAGUCACCCAAAAUUCAGAAAAUAUCCAGGUUCGCUUAAAAUCAUCACCACAAUAAGCUCUUGCAAACUCCUAAUAAAUAUAGAUUCACCAAAGCUAGAAAAGCACAUAAUAGAAACUAUAGAGAGAAAAAUAAUGAUCCCUAUGGAAACGGAUAGAAAAUGGAUCAUGAACUUAGUGUCAUUAAUUACCACAAAUACAACAAGCUUUGGGUCACCAAAUCUUUUUCAAUAAUUCCUAAUCUACUGUGGUCACUAAACUAACUAUAAAUACGAUUAAGGCAAGUGUACCUAUCGAACAAUAGUAUAGCUGUGGCGAGUAGAGAAUAUGGUAUCCAUAAGGACUAAAAGUGCUAGUAAUUACCGUUUUUCUAUUAUUUAGUCGACAAAUUGGAAUGAUUGUUUUUAAUCUAAAAUUACUAGACUAAUCUAACUAAGAAUGCAACAGAGAAUGAAAUAGGAAAAUAAUCAAAGAUAACCAAUGAGAUAGACAAUACCCAGGAAAGAAUCUACCUAAACUUCACCUAUUAUUAUGAAUCUGAAUUAAACGAUUUAUUCACUUACGUCUUGAUCCGUAGAAAUCCUUAAAUUAUAUUAAUAUCUCUUUCGAGAGUAAGAACAACUGACUCUAGGUUGAUUAAUUGAAAUCUCUUUCUAAUUAAAACUCCUAUUGUCGCAUUAACUCAAUCUAUGGAUUCCCCUAUUAGAUUUGACUCUAAUCUGGUAGAUUUAUGUCGUCCUAUUUUUAGGAUUGCAUGCAACUCCACUCAAUUAUGCUAAAUCUACUCUUAAACAUGAACUUUUGCUCCACUGAAAUAAGCACAUUAAACAUGAAUUAAUAUCGCAGAAAUAUUAAAAUAAAAAUUAAGCAUACAUAAUUGAGAACAAGAAUCAAGUAUUUAUCAUAUAAAUUAGAAAUCAAAUAAUAAGAUUCAUCAUAGGUUUCAUACUCCCUAGGUAUCUAGGGAAUUUAGUUUAUAAUCCUGAAUAGAAACAUCUCAAAGUGAAGAUAACCACAUGACAUAAAGAAACUUAAUAAAACUUUAAAAGAAAUUAAAUAGAGAUCUUUGAUCUUGAGGGAGAUUCGCUUCUGAGUUGAUUCCGAUGGCGUUCUUCGGGUGUUUUCUUCAAUCUUCUCUGAUUGCUCCCUUAUGUCUUCUUCUAAUGGGUAUUUAUAGACUUUAGAAUGCUCAUAAAAAUUGGGUUUUUUUGCGUAUUUGGGAAGUAGGAUGCGAAAUCGACACGGGCUGGCACAUGAACGUGUGACCAGCCUAUGUGGCUCACACGGGCGUGUGCCUAGCCCGUGUGGCUCCUAAAAAUAGCUCUUUUUGUCCGAUUUUAGCUCAUUUUUUCGCUCCUUUUACUCCCAAAUGCUCUCCUAAGUAUAGAAACAUGAAUUUAAAGGAUUAGGAGCAUCAAAUUUACUAAUUUUUAUAAUUAAUCAUUCAAAAACGUAUUAAAAAUGGAAUUAAACUAUGUUACUUUUAUAGCUUAUCAUCUACUUUUUCAUAACUUAAAAACUCACCAUCAUUACAACUUACAUAGCAUCCAUUGUCGCAAUCAACAAACCCCGAAAUCCAAAUCAAAUGACCUUGAAUAUUUGAUAACCAUCCAUAGUUUCAGUCAUUUUACGAAUGCUUUCUGUAGUUCCAACUUAUACCGAGAGUCGUAUUAUCAAUAGAUCAAUAUUACCUAAUAAUCACAACCAUCAUCCAAACAAGCCAACAUCUCACAACAUUAUAGAUCCCUAAAAGUUCCAAAAUAGCAUACACAUGAUGGUGUCAUGGAUCACAAAUCAAAACUAGAGAUGAAUGCACACAAAAUGUCGCAUGGAUGUGAACUGAUUAAAUGAAGUUCAUUUGACUCACCUAAACUGACCUGAUUUGUGGAAUAUGUAAUUUUUCAAAGUAUUAGAAACACUUUGAGAGCAUGUAUCCAAACACUUGGUGCGUUUAGUUUUCUUGUAGCUUAUUUUAAGAGUUAGACUAACUUAAACAAAUUAAUAAUAAAUUGACGUACGUACGUUCAUUUCCUUAGCAGCUAAAUGUUGUAUUUAAUUGGUUUUUAGACACUUUAAAAGCAUGUACCCAAACACUAAAAUUACUUUCAUUUUUGGACAUGUUUUUGGUACAAAGUUAAUUGCAUUUAAUUGUUUCUAAAGUAUUUAUUUACUAAAAAAAUGUUCAAAAAAAAGUUUGAUAUUAUCUACAUUACGUGACAUUCGGGUCAUGUAAAGAAAAAAAAUAUAGAAAAAGUCAAAAUCAAGAUCCAGAGAAUUUUAAUUUUUUUAACUUAAUCACUCAUCUAUUUUAAAAUUUAUUAUUUUAUCGUAUAAAUAGUGAAAUUAGGUUACACAAAUAAAACUACAUAUAUUAUUAUUUAAAAAAAUCUCAAAAUUAAUUUUGGUGUAAUAUGAAAUGACGUACAUAAACUUUUAUAAAUGAAAUUUUGAUUUAAUUCAAAUUUCACAAACUAUUAAUAUCUUUAUUAAUACAUAAUAAUUUUUCGUUUUUAUAUUACUUAUAUAUUCAAUUUAAAAUUAAAUUAAUGUAUUUAUUUUUUAAAAUAUAUAUAAUCAAAUCAAAAUUAAAAUUUUAUGUAUAUAUUUAAUCAAAAAAAAGUAUAUAUAAAUUAUAUCACCUUAUUAAAGUUCAUAAAUAGUUUUAAGAAUAAUCACUAUUGUACAUCAAAGAAACAAACGAGAUUAAGAAAUAAAAACAUACACACUGAACUUACGUAAAAAGAUAAUUGAGAAGAUAUUUCAUAUAUUGUUUUAAUGAGAUGGCGGCGUUGGCAAAGGGGGUAUGCUUUGUUCGUUCUUGAAGAAAUUCUCAGGGUCUAUCUUGGCUUUCACACCCACCAGCCUCAUGAAAUUGUUCCUGAAAUACUUUGCCCCGUAUUCCUUCGCAACCUCAAAAUCCGUCUCGCCGCUUUCGUUGCUACCGAUGUCGAGGUCUCGGUAAUUGAAAAACGCUUCCCUCGGGUUGCUCGACGCAUACGGCGCCAUCACAUUGUACAACCUCCUUGACAUCUCCACAUAACGCCCUGUGGCGUUGAUCCCUCCGUCGGACUCGGACCAUUGGAUCCCGUACUGUGCCUUGAAGAGGUUCCCUCUGCGGUGCGCAAAGGCUGUCUCCGACUCCGAUAUCUCCUCCAUUCGCCCACCGUAAGGAUUAAAUUGCACGAAUAUGUCUUCAAUGUCCAUCAACACUUGCCAUAAGGUCUCUAACCCUUGUUUGGGAAUCACUGCUUUGUAGUAAUCGGACUUGGUCUUGUAAAACACUCGGUCUACUUGAACUCUAUUAAGCAACACAUCAAUGGAGGUUCCAUUGGGGAAACCCGCCCAAUUUAAGGCCGAUUCGACCCAACUCAUCUCCGAACAAUCAUUUCUGGUCAAACCCAAUUCAGGGAAUCUUACGUUCAUUAAUCGUAAAAGCCCAUCAGCUUGUCCCAGAAAAUGGCCGAUGAAUGAAACCGUAACAGUUUUAUUGUUGCCGCCAUUGUUGAUAGGCACAAGCUGGAGUCUAAUGAAGAGAUCUUUGGGCAGUUUAGGGGCAACUUGUUGCCAACGAUAAGCCAGCUCCGUUGCGCCUUGUUCCAAGGUCCUUUGCACGGUGAAAAUAGUGACCCUAGGUGGGACACGAACCAGCUUGAUCCGCCAUGAAAGGAUGAUACCGAAGCUAGUAGUUCCACCGCCUCUUAUAGCCCAAAACACGUCUUCCCCCAUUGAUUUACGGUCAAGGAUUCGACCA